AGCGAACGCUGGCGGCAGGCCUAACACAUGCAAGUCGAACGAACUCUUCGGAGUUAGUGGCGGACGGGGGAGUAACACGUGGGAACGUGCCUUUAGGUUCGGAAUAACUCAGGGAAACUUGUGCUAAUACCGAAUGUGCCCUUCGGGGGAAAGAUUUAUCGCCUUUAGAGCGGCCCGGGUCUGAUUAGCUAGUUGGUGAGGUAAAGGCUCACCAAGGCGACGAUCAGUAGCUGGUCUGAGAGGAUGAUAAGCCACAUUGGGACUGAGACACGGACCAAACUCCUACGGAGGGGAGCAGUGGGGAAUCUUGCGCGAGGGGCGAAAGCGCGACGAAGCCAUGCCGCGUGAAUGAUGAAGGUCUUAGGAUUGUAAAAUUCUUUCUGCGGAGGCGUUAAUGACGGUAACCGGAGAAGAAGCCCCGGCUAACUACGUG
rnacentral:rRNA from 1 species